rnacentral:tRNA from 1 species
UGCAUGGGGUGCAAGGGGUCGAGUGUUCGAAUCACUCCGUCCCGA